CGUUCAUGUUACAUAUUUUGAGGCAAGUGCAGGAUGCAAACUGAUGUGAAAUAUUUCCUAGCAAUUUUCUAGAAUUUAUUUCUUAGAACUUUCCUACAGCAAGAUUGCAAAACUUGUGGACAGUACAAACGGUUGAAAUUUUAGGGGAAAAGGGUUUGAUAUAAACUUUUUUUGUUUUAUUAAAAAUACAUUUUUGUUUUAUGAAAAAGGAAUGGGCCUUAUGCAUUGUUUUGUAUAUCAAAAGAUUUAUUGCUAAAUCAUUCAUAGAAGCAUUACUUAAGACAUCUGAUAUAUGAAUAUUGUAUCAUUCCCAUGUCCUAAUACUAUGCCUGAGUUCAUGUACAUUUACACAUAAAAGAUUAACUAAUGUAAACCUCUGUGUCAUAAGACUGGAUGUACAGUCAUUUAUAAGAAUAAUAUGAUAUGAUAAUAAUAUGAGAAUAAUAUGAUAAAACAUCUAAUUCCUAUAAAUGACUGUAAAUCCAGUCUUCUAUCCAGAGCAAUUUUUAGAUUCUAAGUAGCGUCUAACAAAAACAUAUCAUUAUACUUCAUACAAACACAUCAUACAAGUUCGUAAUGCCAGAAGACAAAGUAUACCAUUGAGAAAUUUUGGGAAUUUCAGUCAUUCAUAAUAGUCAUUAAAUAAGCAAAUCAGGUUUGCCAAAACAACCCCAUAAAUGUUGACAAAUACAAUAAAGACCCUUAUAACAAAAUAAAUGCUGGCAUAUAAACACGGCAAUAUGUUUCUGCAGAUGACAGAAUCACACUAAUAAGGGAAAGAUAGUCAAAGACAGAUACAAGUCAUAUUCUAAGGAUCAGGUAGCUUAUACAUAAGUUCUGUUUGUCACAGCGUCUGCUUCAAAUGCUUCGCCUUGUAUGGCUUGUAUUACAAAAUUGUAUUAAACAUGUAGCACGGAGAAAUAGUCAGUUUUGCUCGAUUUCAUUUUAAUGAAAUACUAAAUAGAUCAAAGCACAUCCACAAAAAAACUCAAAAACUGUCAAAACUUAAUGAUGGUAAGAGAAAACUACAAAUAUUUGACAUUUAACUAAAAAUAAAAAGUAUGAACUUCCAGGCAGAGGCAACCAGGGUUUUCAUUUAAAUGUCCUGAUGCACAGCAUCAUAUGAUUCAUAAUGCAAUUAAUUUUUACUACAGACCCUGGACCACUAGCCACAGAACAUCUAGUAAUGGUGUAUGCAUCAGCAAAGAAUUAGUCAAAGGAAUUUUACAUGGUUACAAGAUCACAUGGUAAUAGGCAGCAAGAGUCUUAAUGUAUUACAAUAUAUACAUUCUCCAAAUUGUAUACAUAUAUUAGAAACAUCUAACUUCCAAACUAUCUCUACGCUGAUUUUUCACAAGUAAAUAAGUCUGUACAAUUAAUUUUUUAUAAAACUUGCACAUGCACACACAUCACAAAUGCACAAAAACACACAGGUCAGAUUAUCGCCAAGCAUCAUACAAUAAUAUACUUCCCAUGUAAUAUAAUAUAAUAUAAUAUAUAAUAAUAUACCUAGUCUUAACAAAGAAACAUUUUAAAAUUGCCAAUAAAUUUACACCUAUAAGUAUUUUUAUUUUUUUUUUAAAUGAAGAACAAUGCUUAUUAGUAGAAGCCUUUAUCAUCCUGAAACCAUCUCCUUCAAUAAACUAACAAUGAAAAUUCUAAAAUUAAAAUUCUAAAAUUUCUAACAAAAAAUUAAACAGCCUAAUCCUUAUUAAACCUUUUACAUUACAGAAACAUUACAGCACUGCCACAUUAUUACUACAAUUACUCCUUUUUUCCAAUUUUCUGUUUGAAUUAAAUACUUUUUUAAACAUAGUCUACAACAAAGGCUCUGUGCUUAAUGCACUUAGCAUCUCCUGACCAAGAUUAGUUAUUUCUGAAAAUGUAAUGAUGAAUGUGAAGCAGAUGUUCACUUGAGUUUAAAACAAAAUCGGCACAAAUUGCUUGUUAGUAUAUCAGCUUGUGUGUAUUGAGAGAAAAACCAAAAAACAUCAAAACACUAGAGCUAAUAAGACGGCAGCAAGGUCCUCUAAACCAUUACUUUUACACUGCAUACUUUACAUAUUUAUCUAGAUAUACAAUACAAAACUGUAUUAAAUAUUAUAGACUAGGCAUGAAAAAAAACUUGACAAUUGCAAAAGGAUUUACAAUAUUGUAAUUAAAUAAAUUUAAAAAUCUCUUGCAUAUGCAGUUAUAUAAAAACACUGAGUUAAAUUACAUUAAAUGGAAUAAAAUUUUUUUAGCACUGAUAAUAUUUAAUAAAUAUAAUGUUAUUUAUUUUAUGCAAGGCUCACUUUUUUUUGUCCAUGGAAAGGAAUUUCAACAAGCUGUAAAGUACAGUUAAAACCUUUAGCCUCACCAUUCACUCUACACUGAACAGACAUAAAGAACAGCUCCAGCAGGCUGAGAAGCAAAGCAUGCCAAUGCUCUCCCCUGGUGGGAAGCUUCGGCUACACAGAAGUUUAUUAAAUUUUAUGAUCUUCCUCGAGUCACGUCUGCUUAUAAGCCACACAAAAGCCGCCCAUCGGGCAAAGUACAAUUAUAUUCACUUCAUUACCACACUGUUGCUAAACUUGAUGCCCCAAUGCCUGCUCUGAUUUGGUAUUAAAGCCUUUCUAUUUCUAUGAUUAAAACUAAAUAUUUAAAAAUAAAUACUAAAGGAAUAAUUUUUAAUCUUUCAAUUGUUUAAAAAUCAGCUUUUCCAGGGAAGAAAAAGCUUGCACUUUUUUACUAAGUAAUAGCCGCAUGCACCGUGUUCAGUCUUACUAGUAACUUAUUCAUAGUUUUAACCAUUGGUAUUUCUAUGCCUUUUUUUACGAUCAUGGAGUAUUUUUUUAAACCUGCUGCACUGUCAACAAAAUAUUGCAUUUUACAAUUAUUCUAUGUGUAUACUGAUCCCAAGAUACUAGCUGUUUUAAUAAGCAGAAUGGAAAGAAGCAUUCAAUUUUAUGUUCUUAUCCUUAUAUGCUUUAUAUGAUUUCAGUAAUACGUUUUGUGUCUUUUUUUUUUUCUUUUGUUAGUAAAACAGUGACAUAGCGACAUGCAGUAUAACCUUGUGAACACAUGCUGAAUUUACCACCAAGCAGCUCAAAUGAGGCAAAUGGAAUAAAAAUGUAUUCCUACUAGUGCAUGUUACAAAUAAUAUAGUGUAUAAUAAGCAGAAUUGUUUUUUGCCUUGAGAAAGAUGUUUGCACAUACUUCUAGGAAAUCAGUUCCAUGUUUGAAAUAACUACUUUCCCUAUUGUUAAGAACUAGUACAAUAGUGCAUGAGGUCCACCACAUCUAAGAUGAAUUUUAGAAAUCCUUUUCAGGACAAUGUUUGAUCUUAAAUUAACGCCAUAAUACAUCCUAAUUAAACUCCUAUCUAUAAACUACAGUUAGUUAACAACAUAAUCAACUUAAUUCUUACAAUGCAACUUCCAUAUGAAAUAAAGGCAGUAAUUAUUCACCAUUUCAGGGAAAAUCUCUCCCGUAAACUGGACAAAUAUUCGAGUAAAAACAAUUGUAAUAUAUAUAAAUUAAACAGGACCGCCCUCUGGAACACCUUUCUAUGCACACAGUACGCCUCUUACGUUAUUAUAUUUAAGCAAACGUGCUCCAAAGAAUUUUCCAACAAAGGGGAUGUGUGCGCCUUUUCGCAAACACAAGCCCCCACCGCAUAACGCUGUAUUCCAGCCAAGCGGCUCUGGGUCUUUUCUAUAGAGGUUAAAACAGGGCAACAUGGGAGUGACGCGGUGUAAAUAAAGCGGAUGCUUGACCAUUCAGCCUGAGCCAGUGAUUGAGCAGGCGGAGGUUAACGCACACUUUCGCCUGGUUACAUCAUUAAAUGCUGCACUUCGGAGCAGAUUCGAGCUUCUUUCAAAGCGCACAAGCGUCGGAGAUGUCGCGCUCGUUGUGCAGUGUGACUGAGACACGCAGCGGCAACCGAAACAAAACUCCGAGAAGAAAACCCGACGGAGGACGAGUUGUAAAGAUGGCGGUGUGUUAAUGUUUGGUGGCUCAGAGAGUACACUGAAGAGGGCAGGCUUCAUCCUGUGGCAGUUCAGGCCAUGUUUUCUGUAUUAGCGUGGAAGAAGAGAGAGCAUCGAUAUAUAGAUAUGGUCAUUUGAAAUUAAUAAUUACGCUCUUUGUAUCUGAAUGAUUUGUACAUUCUUUCAGUUGAUGCGCGGAUCAUUUGCAAACAUAUUUGUAAAACGGGAUUGUAUGUGAUGAUAACAUAAGCGAAUAAAUAAACAAGUGCAAGGAUGAGACAAGACUA